UAAUUCCAGCUCCAAUAGCGUAUAUUAAAGUUGUUGCAGUUAAAAAGCUCGUAGUUGAAUUUCGGAACCGAUGGAUCGGUCAUGCCAAUCGGUGUGUACUGGUUUGAUUGGUUCUCACCUUCUAAGGAACCGUGAUGUCAUUAAUUUGGUGUCGCGAGAAAUUAGGACUGUUACCUUGAAAAAAUUAGAGUGUUUAAAGCAAGCUCACGCUUGAAUACAUUAGCAUGGAAUAAUGAAAUAGGACAUUGUAUUCUAUUUUGUUGGUUUCUAGGAUCGAUGUAAUGAUUAAUAGGGAUAGUUGGGGGCAUUAGUAUUCAAUUGUCAGAGGUGAAAUUCUUGGAUUUAUUGAAGACUAACUACUGCGAAAGCAUUUGCCAAGGAUGUUUUCAUUAAUCAAGAACGAAAGUUAGGGGAUCGAAGACGAUCAGAUACCGUCGUAGUCUUAACCAUAAACUAUGCCGACUAGGGAUCGGAUGAAGU
rnacentral:rRNA from 1 species